UCCCCAUUAUCACCCCCUGACCCAGCCAGUCCCCGCCCUGGGGUCGGAUCAGAGCCGGUGCCCCCUAGGGGGGACAGGCCCCGUGCCCCAUCCCUGCCCCCCUGGGCCAGCCGGUCCCUGCCCUGGGGCCGGGUGGGAG